UAGCCGUAAACGAUACUCGCUAGGUGUCGGCCACGGUGCGACCGUUGUCGGUGCCGUAGGGAAGCCGUGAAGCGAGCCACCUGGGAAGCACGGCCGCAAGGCUGAAACUUAAAGGAAUUGGCGGGGGAGCACCACAACGGGUGGAGCUUGCGGUUUAAUUGGAUUCAACGCCGGAAAUCUUACCGGGACCGACAGCAACAUGAAGGCCAGGCUGAAGACUUUGCCGGAUUAGCUGAGAGGAGGUGCAUGGCGUAGUCG
rnacentral:rRNA from 1 species